AUGUAUAUCGCGAAGUCCUUGGCACGGUGGCUUUAGUAUUUCACGACUUCACACGUCAAAUUAACCUUGCGUGCAUAUUUAAGUUUGGUGCGAUUUCUAUAGCGGGCUAUAUUUAAAGAAGUGUGUGUGAAUUGCUGUUCUACUGUGUGACUCGUUACUUCCUCAGUGGUUCGCUUCGAUCUGCGUCGACAAUGAGAAUGUUUCUGUUAACUGUCCAACCGCCUAAAUAUUUAAUCGCUUAUGCUAUUUUUACAAUUUUCAAACGAAUUCGAAAUUGAUCCCAGUAUUCGUACUUGUCGGUUGACUGUGGUUUCUAUUGAAACAAAUUCUAUGCAAAUUGUAAUCGAAAAUUAUCACACAUGAUAAUUGGGUGAAUUGGUCUUUGGUGUUUGGAUUGGUAGGAUUGGGAUCACGUGUUUCUAGCUCCAUCGAAUUUACAAAUGUUUAGUUGAUUUAGUGGACUUGUCAUUGGUUAAACACAUACAAAAGAGAAAUAAACGCGAGGAAACCAUAAUGCUGCAUUAAUUAACACAGGUUUCCGGUUAGUUUGGUAUUUAAAUUCAUUCGGAGAUCGAGGUUAGAAAGUGAGGUUAGGGCAACCAGAUACGAAUGUAUAAGGGAAAGGUGAAUAUGCAAGGAAUGAAGGUGUAAAAAGAAAAGAGUUAUUGCAAAUACAGAGGAAAAUCACAUAUUCGGAUAAAGUAAGUAUAGCAAUGCUGGGAAGACAGGCAAGUAGUAGGAAAGUCUCAGAUAAGAUGAAAGAGAGAGUGAUGGAAAAGUUCUUAGAAUAGAAAAAUAUGGGAAUAGAGGAUCUAAAAGGGGAAGGGAACGAUGGAAUGGAAGAAUGAUGAAAGAAAUGAAGGAGCAGAUCACAGAGCUCAUAACAGAAUUAAGAAAAGAGUUGACGGAGAAAAGAAAAUAUAGGGAAAAUGAGAGAGAAAGGGAGAGAAAGGAAUAGGAAGAUGAAAAGAAGGUGCUGAUUUAAUGAAAGGAUCCAUCGCAAUUUAGAGGAAAUGCAAAUAUGGAUAAAUAUAACUUGAUUUAAUAUUUUAAUAGGAAGUGAUGGAAGCUUUUUGCGAAACACAAUAUUUCUUUUCAGAUAUAUCGAGAUGGUGCAUUGCAAUUUAAAAGAAAUACAAAUAUCGAUAAUUAGCUUGAUUUGAUUUUUUACACAGGUAAUGAUAGAACGUUUUUGCGAAACACAAUACAUUUUGUUUCAGAUAUAAUGGGAGGAUACGUCGCAUUUAGAAAAGAUAUAAGAAUGCAGAAUUUAAUUUGAUUUUUUGCACAGGAAAUAAUAGGAUUAUUUUGAGAAAAUAUCGGAAUUUGUUUAAGCUACACAAUAUUUUAUUUUAUGUUGAAUACGUUCCAUACGUUAAGCAGGAAUUUGUGAAAAGUAUACAACUCAUAAUGAAAACGAAGGAAUCGAUAUAACCACAUGGAUCGACGAUACAUCAACGACAAUAUACAACAAAAGAUUAAACUUUUUAUUAUACCAUUCAUUACAAUAUUCACUAACAUGCAUGCAGUGACGAGUGCACACAUACCGCGUGUCUCAUGAAAAUACAAUAAAUGCUACCAAUUCA